CAAAGGUAGCAUAAUCAUUUGUCUAUUAAUUGUAGACCUGUAUGAAAGGCAAAAUGAGAGCCCAACUGUCUCUUAUAACAAAUCAAUUAAACUGAUCCCCUAGUACAAAAGCUAGGAUACCAACAUAAGACCAGAAGACCCUGUGAAGCUUUAACUAACCUAUUAAACCCAAUAAUAGCUACUUUCGGUUGGGGCGACCUUGGAACAAAAAAGAACUUCCAACAUAUGACUAAUCAUAAAACAAGGCAAACAAGCCACACCAGACCCAGUAUUACUGACAAUUGAAAUAAGUUACUCCAGGGAUAACAGCGCCAUCUUCUUUAAGAGCCCAUAUCAAAAAGAAGGUUUACGACCUCGAUGUUGGAUCAGGACAUCCCAGUAAUGCAGCCGUUACUAAAGGUUCGUUUGUUCAACAAUUAACAGU
rnacentral:rRNA from 1 species